rnacentral:rRNA from 1 species
AUUGAACGCUGGCGGCAUGCCUUACACAUGCAAGUCGAACGGCAGCGGGGACUUCGGUCCGCCGGCGAGUGGCGAACGGGUGAGUAAUGUAUCGGAACGUACCAUUCAGUGGGGGAUAACUAUCCGAAAGGAUAGCUAAUACCGCAUAUUCUGUGAGCAGGAAAGCAGGGGAUCGCAAGACCUUGCGCUGAUUGAGCGGCCGAUAUCAGAUUAGCUAGUUGGUGAGGUAACGGCUCACCAAGGCUACGAUCUGUAGCGGGUCUGAGAGGAUGGUCCGCCACACUGGGAGUGAGACACGGCCCAGACUCCUACGGGAGGCAGCAGUGGGGAAUUUUGGACAAUGGGCGCAAGCCUGAUCCAGCCAUGCCGCGUGAGUGAAGAAGGCCUUCGGGUUGUAAAGCUCUUUCGGCCGGGUAGAAAUCGCAUCAGCUAAUACCUGGUGUGGAUGACGGUACCGGAAUAAGAAGCACCGGCUAACUACGUGCCAGCCGCCGCGGUAACAC